rnacentral:rRNA from 1 species
UACGUAGGGGGCAAGCGUUGUCCGGAAUCAUUGGGCGUAAAGAGCGUGUAGGCGGCUCGGUAAGUCCGCUGUGAAAGUCCAGGGCUCAACCCUGGAAUGCCGGUGGAAACUGUCGAGCUAGAAUCCGGAAGAGGCGAGUGGAAUUCCUGGUGUAGCGGUGAAAUGCGCAGAUAUCAGGAGGAACACCGAUGGCGAAGGCAGGUCUCUGGGCCACUACUGACGCUGAGAAGCGAAAGCAUGGGGAGCGAACAGG